rnacentral:misc_RNA from 1 species
GAUGAAGAACGCAGCGAAAUGCGAUAAGUAAUGUGAAUUGCAGAAUUCAGUGAAUCAUCGAAUCUUUGAACGCACCUUGCACCCUUUGGCAUUCCGAAGGGUAUGCUCGUUUGAGUGUCAUUGUACUCUCACACUUCCGAUCUUUGGAUUGGGAGCGGUGGACUUGGGUGUUGCUGCUUACUGUGGCUCACCUCAAAUCGAUUCGUGCACCUCUUGGUUGGACAUAGUACGGCGUGAUAAGUGUCUUCGCCGGCACCUCAGUAGAGGGUGGCUGAUCGGGAGCUCUGUGCUUCAAACCGUCCUCGGACAACAACUGACAACUUGACCUCAAAUCGAGUAGGACUACCCGCUGAACUUAAGCAUAUCAAUAAGCGGAGGA